rnacentral:rRNA from 1 species
GACAGAGGGUGCGAACGUUGUUCGGAAUUACUGGGCGUAAAGCGCAUGUAGGCGGCAGCGCAAGUCGGGCGUGAAAUCCCACGGCUCAACCGUGGAAGUGCACUCGAAACUGCGCAGCUAGAGUCCUGGAGAGGAAGGUGGAAUGCUUGGUGUAGAGGUGAAAUUCGUAGAUAUCAAGCGGAACACCGGUGGCGAAGGCGGCAUCCUGGACCGGCAUUGACGCUGAUGUGCGAAAGCCAGGGGAGCGAACGGGAUUAAGAAACCCCGAGUAC